ensembl:lncRNA
UUGUGCAUCUUCAUGACACGAAUGAAGAUUUAUAACCCAAAUCUCUGACACCCAAGAAACCAUCAAAUCAGUCUAUAUGAAUGGAGCCGAUUAAUCUACAUUUUGAGCCAAACUGUUCAAACUCUUAGCUGAACACUGAACCGUGCUGUAGAACACCUGGAGUGACGUCGCUGCUCAGGGUGUCUGAUGUUGAUGCGGUCUGGGCACUAGUAUCUGUUGGCUUGCUGACUAUCACUGAAGAUGAAGUACUUUUCCAAAUCUUCUCUGCCUUGACCCUGUGUCUUCUGCCAUCAUUGUUCAGUGUAGUACUGCAAAGAACAGUCUCCAGGGUCUACCUCCAACAUCUGCUUCCGG